CAUCGCAUCCUGGGGCUGUAGUCGGUCCCAAGGGUUGGGCUGUUCGCCCAUUAAAGCGGUACGCGAGCUGGGUUCAGAACGUCGUGAGACAGUUCGGUCCCUAUCCGUCGUGGGCGCAGGAAAUUUGAGAGGAUCUGUCCUUAGUACGAGAGGACCGGGAUGGACAUACCUCUGGUGUACCAGUUGUUCUGCCAAGAGCACCGCUGGGUAGCUACGUAUGGAUUAGAUAAUCGCUGAAAGCAUCUAAGUGAGAAACUAACCUCGAGAUGAGAUUUCCCAUUCGUCAGAAGUAAGACCCCUGAGAGACGAUCAGGUAGAUAGGCUAGAAGUGGAAGUGUAGUGAUGCAUGGAGCGGACUAGUACUAAUAGGUCGAGGACUUAACCAAG
rnacentral:rRNA from 1 species